rnacentral:lncRNA from 1 species
AACAACUCAUAAAAUAUGGUCCAUAGAGUCAGCUUCAUCAUCACAACAUAACACACAAAUAAAUUGAUCUGCAAUUCUCAAGAAAUCAUUCUGUUUUUGGUUGCUAACUUGUCCAUAAUAGCUAACCAUUCCAUAAAUGAAUUCCUAGGAAUAGUAACAAUUCCUAACUCUUCUUGACCUUAUAUGACUCUUGAGGAGUUUGCAACCUGAGGAGUUUCUUC